AACGUAGGUGGCGAGCGUUAUCCGGAAUUACUGGGCGUAAAGCGCGCGUAGGCGGUUGCUUAUGUCGGAUGUGAAAGCCCUCGGCUUAACUGAGGAAGUGCAUCCGAAACUGGGCAGCUAGAGUACGAAAGAGGGUCGCGGAAUUCUCGGUGUAGAGGUGAAAUUCGUAGAUAUCGAGAGGAACACCUGCGGCGAAGGCGGGUUGCUGGGCCGACACUGACGCUGAUGCGCGAAAGCCAGGGGAGCGAACGGG
rnacentral:rRNA from 1 species